rnacentral:lncRNA from 1 species
AAAACCACUUUCAUCUCUGUUGAUUCUUCUAAACUUCUUAAUGACUGUGUCAGCUUCCUAUAAUUGUUCCUCCAGUAUAGGAUUUCCUCCAUCCCCUCCUACCAGCUCAGGCAAUGUCCUUCUGGUUUAUGCUUUAAAAUACUUGGACACACCACACAGACUAAAAGAAGAAACCAGCAUAUAUUGAAUGCAGAUAAUCUUAAAAGCAAAUGGGAAAAACAGACACCUGAACUGUACUUGCAUUUGUUAUGCUUGAUCAGGAUCUGUGAGCAGUCUGUUGGCUUUAAAUGGUUGCCUUAUGAUGACGUCUCAGGAAAAGGAAAAGGAAGCAUGAGAACACUUAUCACAGAGGAUGGAAAUUCUCCAAUGAGAAGAGCUGGAAAAAAGUCAAUGGUGAAACCAUUGCACUCUGCCCUUGGCCACCUAUACAGAAUAUCUGAUAGAAACAGUGUCAACCUGAGAUAUUAA